AUUGAACGCUGGCGGCAUGCCUUACACAUGCAAGUCGAACGGUAACAGGUCUUCGGAUGCUGACGAGUGGCGAACGGGUGAGUAAUACAUCGGAACGUGCCUAGUAGUGGGGGAUAACUACUCGAAAGAGUGGCUAAUACCGCAUGAGAUCUACGGAUGAAAGCAGGGGAUCGCAAGACCUUGUGCUACUAGAGCGGCCGAUGGCAGAUUAGGCAGUUGGUGGGAUAAAAGCUUACCAAGCCGACGAUCUGUAGCUGGUCUGAGAGGACGAUCAGCCACACUGGGACUGAGACACGGCCCAGACUCCUACGGGAGGCAGCAGUGGGGAAUUUUGGACAAUGGGCGAAAGCCUGAUCCAGCAAUGCCGCGUGCAGGAUGAAGGCCUUCGGGUUGUAAACUGCUUUUGUACGGAGCGAAAAGCCCCGGGUUAAUACCCUGGGGUCAUGACGGUACCGUAAGAAUAAGCACCGGCUAACUAUGUGCCAGCCGCCGCGGUAA
rnacentral:rRNA from 1 species